rnacentral:lncRNA from 1 species
AGCAGCCACCGCAGUAGCCACCACACCAAACACCACCUCAACAACAACAUACUCCUUCGGGCCACACAGAGACGUUGACGCCUAUCUCUGCCUUCGCACGGGGGCACACUCUGUUGGAUCCGACAGAUGAGAUUGACUUUGAUACUCAUAUGCAGGACGGUGGACUGGGUGAUUGACUUUGAUUAUGUUAUGUUUUUUAUACUUUUGGUUUUCUUUGUGUAAUUUUUUUGUUU